GAUGAAGAACGCAGCGAAAUGCGAUAAGUAAUGUGAAUUGCGGAAUUCAGUGAAUCAUCGAAUCUUUGAACGCACAUUGCGUCCGCCGGUAUUCCGGCGGGCAUGCCUGUUCGAGCGUCAUUUCAACCAUCAAGCCCCCGGCUUGUGUUGGGGACCUGCGGCUGCCGCAGGCCCUGAAAAGCAGUGGCGGGCUCGCUGUCACACCGAGCGUAGUAGCAUACAUCUCGCUCUGGGCGUGCUGCGGGUUCCGGCCGUUAAACCACCUUCAUAACCCAAGGUUGACCUCGGAUCAGGUAGGAAGACCCGCUGAACUUAAGCAUAUCAAUAAGCGGAGGA
rnacentral:misc_RNA from 1 species